CAGCCGCCACGGGAAUACGAAGGGGGCUAGCGUUGCUCGGAAUGACUGGGCGUAAAGGGCGCGUGGGCGGCGGCCAAAGUCAGACGUGAAAUUCCUGGGCUCAACCUGGGGGCUGCGUUUGAUACUUGGUUGCUUGAGUGGGGAAGAGGGUUGUGGAAUUCCCAGUGUAGAGGUGAAAUUCGUAGAUAUUGGGAAGAACACCGGUGGCGAAGGCGGCGACCUGGUCCUUGACUGACGCUGAGGCGCGAAAGCGUGGGGAGCAAACAGGAUUAGAUACCCCGGUAGUCCCUGUCUCUUAUAC
rnacentral:rRNA from 1 species